UUGACCUCGGAUCAGGUAGGAAUACCCGCUGAACUUAAGCAUAUCAAUAAGCGGAGGAAAAGAAACCAACAGGGAUUGCCCUAGUAACGGCGAGUGAAGCGGCAACAGCUCAAAUUUGAAAUCUGGCUCU
rnacentral:rRNA from 1 species